rnacentral:rRNA from 1 species
GAUGAACGCUGGCGGCGUGCCUAAUACAUGCAAGUCGAGCGAACGGACGAGAAGCUUGCUUCUCUGAUGUUAGCGGCGGACGGGUGAGUAACACGUGGAUAACCUACCUAUAAGACUGGGAUAACUUCGGGAAACCGGAGCUAAUACCGGAUAAUAUUUUGAACCGCAUGGUUCAAAAGUAAAAGACGGUCUUGCUGUCACUUAUAGAUGGAUCCGCGUUGCAUUAGCUAGUUGGUAAGGUAACGGCUUACCAAGGCAACGAUGCAUAGCCGACCUGAGAGGGUGAUCGGCCACACUGGAACUGAGACACGGUCCAGACUCCUACGGGAGGCAGCAGUAGGGAAUCUUCCGCAAUGGGCGAAAGCCUGACGGAGCAACGCCGCGUGAGUGAUGAAGGUCUUCGGAUCGUAAAACUCUGUUAUUAGGGAAGAACAUAUGUGUAAGUAACUGUGCACAUCUUGACGGUACCUAAUCAGAAAGCCACGGCUAACUACGUG